UUUAGACUUAAGAGCUAUUCAAAUAAGGCACAGCUUAUUUGAAAUAGGAUACAACCUACAACAUAGGGUAAACUAGAGUGACCUAAAUAAAGUGGGCCUAAAAGCAGCCACCUUUAGAAAAGCGUUAAAGCUUAACUACCUUCACUCAUAAUACCUAAAAUCUCCACUAACCCUUCAUUACUACUGAACAAUUUUAUACUCAUAUAAAAGCUAUCAUGCUAGAACUAGUAACAAGAAACUGCUUUUCUCCUAAAUGUGAACAUAAACCAAAAUAGACUCUCUAUUGGUUAUUAACGUAAAUGCUAAACUGUAGCAACCCUCACUAGAAAAUCCUAUAACCCCCCAACGUUAACCUUACACCAGAACAUUACAGGAAAGAUUAAAAGAAAAAGAAGGAACUCGGCAAAUUUUAGCCUCGCCUGUUUACCAAAAACAUCGCCUCUUGACAAAACAUAAGAGGUCCAGCCUGCCCAGUGACAAAGUUCAACGGCCGCGGUACCCUAACCGUGCAAAGGUAGCACAAUCACUUGUUCUUUAAAUGAGGACUCGUAUCAACGGCACUACGAGGGCUAUACUGUCUCCUUUUUCUAAUCAGUGAAACUGAUCUCCCCGUGAAGAAGCGGGGAUUAUAAUAUAAGACGAGAAGACCCCAUGGAGCUUUAAACUCACCAUGCACCUCUGUGCUCCUAUACCCCUAAACACAACAGACCUGCAUGUUAGUUUUAGGUUGGGGUGACCACGGAGUAUAACUUAACCUCCACAGCAAACGGGCUAAUACCCUUAUCCACGAGACACAACUCUAAGAAUUACUAAACUAAUGCUUACGACCCGAUAUUCGAUCCAUGAACCAAGUUACCCUGGGGAUAACAGCGCAAUCUACUUCAAGAGCCCAUAUCGACAAGUAGGUUUACGACCUCGAUGUUGGAUCAGGGUAUCCCGGUGGUGCAGCCG
rnacentral:rRNA from 1 species